UACGGAGGAUCCGAGCGUUAUCCGGAUUUAUUGGGUUUAAAGGGUGCGCAGGCGGAAGAUUAAGUCGGCGGUGAAAUUUUGCAGCUCAACUGUAAAAGUGCCAUCGAUACUGGUUUUCUUGAGUGUGGAUGAAGUAGGCGGAAUUUGUGGUGUAGCGGUGAAAUGCAUAGAUAUCACGAGGAACUCCGAUUGCGCAGGCAGCUUACUAAACUACUACUGACGCUCAGGCACGAAGGCGUGGGGAUCAAACAGGAUUAGAUACCCG
rnacentral:rRNA from 1 species